rnacentral:rRNA from 1 species
CGGCGCCGGGAGCAAUCCUGGUGGCGAGUGGCGAACGGGUGAGUAAUAUAUCGGAACGUGCCCAGUCGUGGGGGAUAACGUAGAGAAAUUUACGCUAAUACCGCAUACGAUCUAAGGAUGAAAGCGGGGGACUCUGCAAAGAGCCUCGCGCGAUUGGAGCGGCUGAUAUCAGAUUAGGUUGUUGGUGAGGUAAAAGCUCACCAAGCCGACGAUCUGUAGCUGGUUUGAGAGAACGACCAGCCACACUGGGACUGAGACACGGCCCAGACUCCUACGGGAGGCAGCAGUGGGGAAUUUUGGACAAUGGGCGAAAGCCUGAUCCAGCAAUGCCGCGUGCAGGAAGAAGGCCUUCGGGUUGUAAACUGCUUUUGUACGGAACGAAAAGGUCUGCCCUAAUACGGCGGGCCCAUGACGGUACCGUAAGAAUAAGCACCGGCUAACUACGUGCCAGCAGCCGCGGUAAUACGUAGGGUGCGAGCGUUAAUCGGAAUUACUGGGCGUAAAGCGUGCGCAGGCGGUUAUGUAAGACAGUUGUGAAAUCCCCGGGCUCAACCUGGGAAUUGCAUCUGUGACUGCAUAGCUAGAGUACGGUAGAGGGGGAUGGAAUUCCGCGUGUAGCAGUGAAAUGCGUAGAUAUGCGGAGGAACACCGAUGGCGAAGGCAAUCCCCUGGACCUGUACUGACGCUCAUGCACGAAAGCGUGGGGAGCAAACAGGAUU